GUUACAAAGACUUGGGGUUUGGUGGUUUGGUGGAGUUAUACAGCAACUUGAUGAAGCUCUCAGAAUUUUAGGGGAUAAAGCAACACACGAGGAAUUGAGAAUUCUGGCUGCUUUCCAAGAUGUGUACAGCCGGCGUACCUGAAGUUCCAUCAUUAUCAAAAGGCAUCGAAGGUCUUAAUAUUUGCAGGUUGCUUUUGUACAGUUUGUGGCAAAGAACUUCGGUCCAGAAGUGCAGUUUGUUACAGGUUUAGUCAUGAGUUUAACUUGUAAUUCAGUCUGCAUAGAGGUUCAGUCGAGGAAGGCCGUACAUGAGUUUGUUACAGGUUGCUUUUCUAUCUGCCAUACCAUGAGUUUAGCGCA